rnacentral:ribozyme from 1 species
CCGGCACAAGCUCCCACCUCACCGUGGUGUGUCGGUCUAGUAACCCUUUGGGGUGAAGCUAACGGGAGC